ACCAGUUCUUAGAUCAGGAGGACUGGGGCCCCCAGCGGACCUCAAAGGAGAUCAGGCAGUUGCAGAAUGACUGCAUGAGCUUCGGGAGUCACUGAACACCACCCAAGUGCACAACCUGGCCCUGGGGGAGAAGCUGCAGAACCUCCCACCUUAUUGUAUAAGAGCCUGAAGGAGGGAGCCCAGGCCAUCCAGGAGGAGGCCCAGGCCAUCCAGG
rnacentral:lncRNA from 1 species